rnacentral:lncRNA from 1 species
UAAAAAGAAAUUUUUUAAAAAAUUCAUGUUAAUAGAAAAAAAUAAAGUUUUAGAGGUGUUAUUAUAAAAAUGGCCUUUAGGUAAUGGUAUUUAAAAAUACUUUUACCUAUAUAUAUAUAUAUAGAGAGAGAGAGAGAGAGAGAGAGAGAGAGAGUAGGGCUACUAUACUCUUAUGAGUAUAGAGCCCUUCAUACUCAUAAAUUGUUUUCGGUGAUGGAGCUUCAGAAUCGACUAUCCAUUCCGUUAAAUAUGAUCUAGAGUAUUUGAAACUUUUAAAAAAUAAAUUUCGUAAUUUUUUGAAAUCAUAAUAAAGUCUAUCAAACGGGCAUAAAAUGAACAGUUAAAAUCGAACGACGUCCUAAAAUUAGAUGAUCGGAUCCUUCAAUUUAAGAUCAGAGUUAUUGAUCUUUAUCUAGGCAGUGAAUAGAAUUUUUUAUCAAAAUUUCAAUCUAUUCCAAUUCUUUUACACCAUUAAACUAGCAAGUAUGUCAUACAGGCCAUUAAAAAUUGUCAAUUUUAUGAGCUAUUGAUCGUAAGACAAAUUAUGUCAAUAAAUUAUAAAAUUUGAUUUUUUUUUAAUUUUAAAUGCUGUAGAUAAUAUUUAAUGAUAUGGAUCGUCGAUUCGAAAGCUCUAUAAUUGAAAACGACUUAUAAGUAUAAGAACCGAUCGUACUUGUAAGAGUAUAGUAGCCGAACUCACAAAAGAUCUCAAAAUUGACAAUUUUAACUCCAAUCUUAAACUGAAUGAUCCACAAUCAUCUAUUUUUUAGGACGUCGUUCAAUUUUGAUCGUUUAUUUUAUACCCACUUAAUAGACUUUCUUAUGAUCUCAAAAAAUUACGAAAUUUAUUUUUUAGACAUUUCAAAUACUCAAAAUCAUAUAUAUCGGAGUGAAUCGUCGAUUCAAAAGCUUCAUUAUCGAAAAUAAUUUAUCAAUACGAAAGGCUCUAUUUUCAUAAGUGUAUAGCAGUCCUACUCUCUCUCUCUCUCUCUCUCUCUCUAUAUAUAUAUAAAUAUCCUCACACGAAAAAUAAUGAAAAU